rnacentral:rRNA from 1 species
GUAGGGAGCAAGCGUUGUUCGGGAAUUAUUGGGGCGUAAAGAGCGCGUAGGCGGCCAGGUAAGUCUGAUGUGAAAUCCCACAGCUCAACUGUGGAACUGCAUUGGAAACUGCUUGGCUAGAGUGCGGGAGAGGAGAGUGGAAUUCCCAGUGUAGAGGUGAAAUUCGUAGAUAUUGGGAGGAACACCAGUGGCGAAGGCGGCUCUCUGGACCGCAACUGACGCUGAGGCGCGAAAGCUAGGGGAGCGAACGGGAUUAGAUACCCCGGUAGUCCUAGCCGUAAACGAUGGGCACUAGGUGUAGGAGGUAUCGACCCCUUCUGUGCCGUAGCUAACGCAUUAAGUGCCCCGCCUGGGGAGUACGGUCGCAAGACUA